UUUACUACAUGAAGAUGCUCCUGUUGAUAUAAACUACUCAAUGCAAACGUUUACCUGCGUGUCAGCACGCAGCCUCCCCAACUCGAACAACUCUUCACGGCCACGCGGUUACAACACACACUUUGGCCGAGGACCCACUUAUUUUCUGAGAUUGUUUCACCAUGAUCCUGGGGCAGCGAGUUCUCGCGAGGUGAGAGGCGCCCUCUGCGGUACGGGAUGCGCAGCGGCUCAGAAGGACUGUGCAGGGGAGCGCUGGGUGAUUGAUCACAGCCAGUUUUCUUUACCAAUGCUGGGAACGCGGGGGUGAGGAACAGGAUCAUGUUCUAACGAUGAGAAGCCACGCUAUUACCAGCGGGUUGGAAGAUGAAUAAAGGCACCGUCGAGGCCUCUGAUGGACUAAACCUGCAUGUUCAGCACCCGAAUACAAACAGCUGAGCAGCCGUGUCUUCUGAGCUGGUGCAUAGGUCGGCUUUGGCGUGAACUCCGUCUACCUGCAUCAUCCCUGCACAUAGCAGGAUGCCUUCCUCAUGCCAUUCUGAUCACACUAUUGGCUCAUUCCUCUUUGUUCAAAUUGCAAAUUUGAGGCAAUUGGGGUGCUAGAAUCCUGAAGGUCAGAUGCUACAUAAGUCUCAUCGUUGGAUGUAGUCCUGCCUCAUUUAUGGGGUCAAAGUG